GGGCCCGCACAAGCGGUGGAGUAUGUGGUUUAAUUCGAUGCAACGCGAAGAACCUUACCAGGGUUUGACAUCCUGCGAAUCUCUUGGAAACGAGAGAGUGCCUUCGGGAGCGCAGUGACAGGUGGUGCAUGGCUGUCGUCAGCUCGUGUCGUGAGAUGUUGGGUUAAGUCCCGCAACGAGCGCAACCCACGUCUUUAGUUGCCAGCAUUCAGUUGGGCACUCUAGAGAGACCGCCGGUGAUAAACCGGAGGAAGGUGUGGAUGACGUCAAGUCAUCAUGCCCCUUACGGGUUGGGCUACACACGUGCUACAAUGGUGCCUACAGUGGGUUAAUCCCCAAAAGGCAUCUCAGUUCGGAUUGGGGUCUGCAACUCGACCCCAUGAAGUCGGAAUCGCUAGUAAUCG
rnacentral:rRNA from 1 species